rnacentral:rRNA from 1 species
UACGUAGGCAGCAAGCGUUGUUCGGAAUUACUGGGCGUAAAGGGUGCGUAGGUGGGUCUGUAAGUCAGUGGUGAAAUCUCCGGGCUUAACCCGGAAACUGCCAUUGAUACUAUAGAUCUUGAAUAUCCUGGAGGUGAGCGGAAUAUGUCAUGUAGCGGUGAAAUGCUUAGAUAUGACAUAGAACACCAAUUGCGAAGGCAGCUCACUACGGGAUUAUUGACACUGAGGCACGAAAGCGUGGGGAUCAAACAGG